rnacentral:lncRNA from 12 species
CACAGGCGGCUCUUUGGAAACAAGAGACCUGGUACUUCCAACAGCCAAAAAGCUGGCCAAACACCAGGAUGAGGGGAAAGACAUAUCAGGUGUCUUCAGUUUGAGUCUUCUUGUCUUUGUUUCCUGUCUUGGAGCUCUGAGCCCUGCUGCGGAAGGGAGUUUAUUCACCAGCACAGGCAUUGUGAGAAGGUUUACAUAACUAUAAUGAUGAGUAAAUGUGAUGACACAGAAAAACUGUGUCAGGGACAUUAAAAUGGAAAGAAACAAGCUAACAUUUCUUAGUACUUAAGGUGAGAUAAUUUUUAAAUCAUUUGUUAAAAUCACUAUAUUCUGUUCAUUUGAAUGUAACCAAAAAGUAGGGAAAAUAUAUAUAUAUAUAUAUAUAUAUAUAAUAUGCUGUGAAUUUUCUCCCCUUAUUUAAGUAAAUGCUAAUAAGAUAACAUUGUUAGUAAUAAACUCUGUAAAUGCAAUAUUUGUGUCCUGUCC